ensembl:lncRNA
GUAUCAGGAGUCUGGGAAGCAAAGCCCUGCCUUGGCCAGAUGCAACCCCCUGGUAACAAGGCACAGAAAACAAGCUCAUCCUCUGGCAAGAAAAAUGGAGCAUCCCGUGGAAUCACACUGUUAAUUGCAACCAACAAAGCAGGAUGGUGGUCACUCUGGAACUGCUCACAGACAGAAAGAUUUGGCUAUGUUUGCACCGUGCAUGGCCACUUCCCGACAGCAUUAGUGGAAACUGCCUUUCCCCGGUGACCUUGCUGCUAAGCUGGAGACUGCCAGGGACUGUCACCUCCAAUGACACUGCUCAGAGGGUCCUUGUCAGAACAAUUACCACUGCAUUUCCCUGGUGCCUGCUCAGGUUCACUGGCUGCACUCCGGAGAGUGAAAAGGCAACUACUCUUACCCCUCAUUUAACUAAACCAUGCCGAGAGAGAAAGAAGUGCCUCUCCUCUCUCCUCCCUGCUGUGACCGGUGGCCGAAGGGCAGGGAACACCUUGGGCAGCAGGGAUUCCCCAAGUGGAUGGCUGUCAAAGAUUUUAAUAUACUGCAGGCACAGCAGCUAAUUCUCAAAUCUCUUGCAGAAGGAUUUUACAGAGGGAAGCUAGGAUGCAAAUCCUUUUGAAGGCUUUUUCCAUUUUGAAACCUAUAAAUAGGAAAGUAGGGCAAAAUGACUUUGACAAGUUUAGACCUCACCUUCUUUAAUUACUCUCUUUGGAUCAACAACCUGACUGCAAAUGCUUAUCUGCUCCAACAUUACGCACAGGUUUGGAGUUUAUUUUUUAAAAGCAGUGCAUGACAGUUCUGCAUAAUAUUUUUAAUACCCUUGGCCACCAGAGAUUUCCAUAUUCCAGUCAAUCUUUAAAUUUAUAAUUGAUAUAAAUAGUGAACCAGGCUGAUUGCCUAUAUUGUCGUUUCAGUGCAAAAAGUCUGUCCAUUUAUUGUUCUUUAUGAAUGUAAAUUUUUGUGCUGCUGCCUUUUUUGCAUUUCUUCUUCCUUCUUAAUAAAUGUGAAAAUUUAAAUGAUUGUCUUGUUACC